CUGAGGGGACAGGGCCUGGCAGGGACACGGGGGGCAUUGCCCUGUCCCCACAGCAUGACAGGGUCACAGGGGAUAGAACCAUAAAUCACCGAAUCAUUAGGGUUGGAAAAGACCUCCGAGAUCACCUGGUCCAACCGUCCCCCUCCCACCACUGUCACCCACCGAACCCUGUCCCCAAGCACCACGUCCAGCCUCUCCUCGAACACCCCCAGGGGUGGAGAUGCCACCACCUCCCUGGGCAACCCGCUGGGAGGGACUGGCCCUGUCCCCACAGCAGGACAGGGACACGGGACGGUUAGGCAUUGUCCCCACACCAGGACAAGGACACAGGAUGGUUGGCCCCCACACCAGGACAGGGACACAGGAUGGUUGGCCCUGUCCCCUCACCAGGACAGGGAGAAACUCGUUUCAGCUGCUGGGAGGAGAACAUGGCUCAGACCGCAGCAGGGAGCUGAAGCUUACCUCUAACUGUAAGAGGCCACCGAGGUGAGGGACACUUUCUUCCCUGGCUGGCUUCUGUGGCACAGCUGUCCCUUUAUGUUUGGAAGCAGGAGAGAGGGCAGCGAGCCUGGUUGCCCAGAGCUGCCUUAGGGACACCACAGGGAAGCCUGGAGCGAACUAUUUGCUCUCGGCCACUCUGCAGCACCUCCUGCGUUGCUCCUGCCCUCAGCUCCCAGCCCAGGCGCUUGCCUGCGUUACAUUCCGCCUGGUGCAUCUCUGUGCGUCUGUCUUCCAAGCUGCAGCCUUGCUCCCAGGCACGCUUUUCUCUCACGUCUAGAUUUGGUACAAGCUUGGUUUCUCAGUCCUCACCCUUCCUUGUCCUGAUAGGGGUAGAUGGCUCCAGCCUUACCCUGAGAGCGCUCUUCACUCCCUGGCCUGGCAGAUCACAUCUCAAAUUUCUCGAUAACCAAAGUAUUUGGUGUCCUGAAGCAGUUUGGCUUCUUUGGACCUGUCCUAGCACUUAGUCAGCUCUAGGGAGGAAAGUAAGUAGGCUGGGCACACGGCCAUGCAACUCCCAGGGCUGAGCAAGCGAGGAACAACGCAGGGAAAAACCAAGCCCCGCGAGGAGGCAGUGAAGGCAAAGAGGACGAGGCGAAGCGUAUCAGCUGGGACAAGGAGACACUGAAUUAAAAGGACAGUCAUUUGAUUCACUCACUGCGGCUCGGGAAGAGCAGUGCACUACCUCAAAAAGAGCUUGCUUACUGCCGAGAGAAGGGAGACAGGGCUUAAUGACAUUUAACUAAUUACUGCAAGAGUCACUGCUUAGUUAAUUUGGUCGGUUUCUCCUUCAUGGCACUGUGUGGACAAGCCCUGGGCAGGAGCAGCGCAGCAGAAAUGCCAGCAGCAAGCCUGAGGAAGGAGCUGCUGUCAGGCAGCAUCACGACACCAGGGCCUCAGAGAGGGUCCGCUGGGGCUCGGUGCUCCUGGCUGCAGCUGCCACGGCUUCAUUUCCCCCCGCAGUAGCCUGAUGUGAUCAGCAAGCUGGCAGC
ensembl:lncRNA